rnacentral:rRNA from 1 species
GACGAACGCUGGCGGCGUGCCUAAUACAUGCAAGUCGAACGAAGUGGGGACGGGUGAGUAACACGUGGGUAACCUCCCAUCAGAGGGGAUAACACUUGGAAACAGGUGCUAAACCGAUACUGAUGGAUGAACCCGCGGUGCAUUAGCUAGUGGGUGAGGUAACGGCUCACCAAGGCCAUGAUGCAUAACCGCCCUGGGGGGGGGAUCGGCCCGUCUGGGACUGAGACACGGCCCAGAUUCCUCCGGGAGGCAGCAGUAGGGAAUCUUCGGCAAUGGACGAAAGUCUGACCGAGCAACGCCGCUUGAGUGAAGAAGGUUUUCGGAUCGUAAAACUCUGUUGUUAGGGAAGCGGUAUCUAACCAGAAAGCCACGGCUAACUACGUGCCAGCAGCCGCGGUAAUAC